UCCAACUGAAGAGCCCACAAUCGAAACAACAGUUCCUCCAGCGACAACAGUUCCUCCAACUGAAGAACCCACAACCGGAAACCCAGCGACAACAGUUCCUUCAACUCAAAGGCCCACAACUGCAGUUGUAACAACAAAAAAACCGAACAUUCUACAGAAAAUAAUAAAUUGGAAACUUAAAUGGAUCGAAAAAAUCAAGAACAAGCUCGAAAAAAUUCGCGCUAAAAAUAACAAGUCCAAGUCGACAUCAGGCGGGUGGAAAUUCUUUGGAUGAUUUCUUGGGAUUUCUUCGAUGAGCUGCCAGCAUCCAUCGUUGUUGCGCGACGUUCACCCAAUUCACGGCAACUACACAGCCGGUGCCUACAACGUCCCAUAAGAUUACUUCUUCUAAUUGUUAUUGUAAUCAUGUCAUUGUUCCUUACUUCUGAACAUCUACUUUCAUGGAAAAUGCUUGUACUCUUAAAAUACUAUCUUUGUCUCGUUGAACAAAAUACAAGGACGAGCAAUCAAGGUUUGAAAAUGUAAAUAAGAGUUAAAAUAAAUUUUCGAAUUCAGA
rnacentral:lncRNA from 1 species